GAGUUUGAUCAUGGCUCAGGAUGAACGCUAGCGGCAGGCCUAACACAUGCAAGUCGAGCGGCAUGCCCCCCCUCGGGGGGGCGCGAGCGGCGGACGGGUGAGUAACGCGUAUGCAACCUGCCCCGGUCCGGGGCUCAGCCCGGCGAAAGCUGGGGUAAUCCCCCGUGGUGCGGGGGGGCCGCCUGGCCCCUCCGUGAUAGCUCCGGCGGACCGGGAUGGGCAUGCGUGCCAUUAGCUGGUUGGCGGGGUAACGGCCCACCAAGGCGACGAUGGCUAGGGGUCCUGAGAGGGAGGCCCCCCACACUGGGACUGAGACACGGCCCAGACUCCUACGGGAGGCAGCAGUGAGGAAUAUUGGUCAAUGGGCGGGAGCCUGAACCACCCAUGCCGCGUGCCGGACGAAGGCCCCACGGGUCGUAAACGGCUUUUGCGCGGGAGGAAUGACCCCGGUGCGCCGGGGGAUGCCCGUACCGCGCGAAUAAGGAUCGGCUAACUCCGUGCCAGCAGCCGCGGUAAUACCGAAGAUCCGAGCGUUAUCCGGAUUUACUGGGUUUAAAGGGCGCGCACGCCGCCCGGCCAGUCUCCGGUGAAACCCUGGGGCUCAACCCCGGGCGUGCCGGGGAUACUGCCGGGCUUGGAUGCGGUCGAGGCCGGCGGAACGCGCGGUGUAGCGGUGAAAUGCUUAGAUAUAGCGUAGAAGGCGGAUAGCGAAGGCAGCUGGCCAGGCCGCGAUCGACGCUCAGGCGCGAAAGCGUGGGGAUCGAACGGGAUUAGAUACCCCGGUAGUCCACGCGGUAAACGAUGGGCACUGGCUGUCGGCGGGCUACAGUCGGCGGCUGCGCGAAAGCGUUAAGUGCCCCACCUGGGGAGUACGGCGGCAAGGCUGAAACUCAAAGGAAUUGACGGGGGCCCGCACAAGCGGAGGAACAUGUGGUUUAAUUCGAUGAUACGCGAGGAACGUUACCUGGGCUCGAACGCCGGGCGCGCGGGCGGGAAACCGCCCUUCNCCCACCGGGCUCCCGGCGAGGUGCUGCAUGGUUGUCGUCAGCUCGUGCCGUGAGGUGUCGGGUUAAGUCCCAUAACGAGCGCAACCCCUGCCGCCAGUUGCCAGCGCGUCAUGGCGGGGACUCUGGCGGGACUGCCGGCGCAAGCCGCGAGGAGGGUGGGGAUGACGUCAAAUCAGCACGGCCCUUACGUCCAGGGCGACACACGUGUUACAAUGGCCGGUACAGCGGGAAGCCACCCCGCGAGGGGGCGCGGAUCCCGAAAGCCGGCCCCAGUUCGGAUCGGAGUCUGCAACCCGACUCCGUGAAGCUGGAUUCGCUAGUAAUCGCGCAUCAGCCACGGCGCGGUGAAUACGUUCCCGGGCCUUGCACACACCGCCCGUC
rnacentral:rRNA from 1 species